UACGUAGGGUGCGAGCGUUAAUCGGAAUUACUGGGCGUAAAGCGUGCGUAGACGGUUAUGUAAGUCAGGUGUGAAAGCCCCGGGCUCAACCUGGGAAUUGCAUUUGAGACUGCAUAGCUAGGGUGCGGAAGAGGGAAGCGGAAUUUCCGGUGUAGCGGUGAAAUGCGUAGAUAUCGGAAGGAACACCAGUGGCGAAAGCGGCUCCUGGUCCAGCACCGACGUCAGGCACGAAAGCGUGGGGAGCAAACAGG
rnacentral:rRNA from 1 species